AGGUGGGUGAGUGUAAAUGCACUAAGGCGCGCGAGAGAGACCUCUCUAAGGAACUCGGCACAUUAGCCUCGUAACUUCGGGAAAAGAGGUGCUCACUUCGGUGAGCCACAGUAAAUUGCGUUUAGCGACUGUUUAACAAAAACACAGCACUCUGCUAAGUCGUUAAGACGACGUAUAGGGUGUGACACGUGACCAAUGCGGAAAGAUUAAGGCAUUUUGUUAGCCGCAAGGCGAAGCUCGGUGCCAAAGUCCCCGUGAAUGUCGGCCGUAACUAUAACGGUCCUAAGGUAGCGAAAUUCCUUGUCGGGUAAGUUCCGACCUGCACGAAUCGUGUAACGACUGAACGACUGUCUCGGAGAGGAUCUCGGCGAAACUGUAACUGCGGUGAAGAUGCCGCAUGCCCGCAGUAGGACGGAAAGACCCUAUGCACCUUUACUGUAAGCUGGUAUUGUGUUCUGAUUAAUAAUGCGUAGCGUAGGUGGGAGGCUUUGAAGUGAGUGCUUCGGUGCUCAUGGAGCCGCAAUGUGAAACACCACUCUUUGCUAAUUAGGAUUCUAACCUCGAUUCCUGUCAACCAGGCGAGGGACAGUGCUUGCGGGUCAGUUUGACUGGGGCGGUUUCCUCCCAAAGAGUAACGGAGGAGCGCGAAGCUUGGCUCAGCACGGUUGGCAACCGUGCGUCGAGCGUAUGGGUAUAAGCCAGGUUAACUGUGAGACCUACAAGUCGAGCAGAUGCGAAAGCAGGCCCAAAUGAUCCGAUGGUUUAAUGUGGAAUUGCCAUCGCUCAACGGACAGAAGGUACGCUAGGGAUAACAGGCUGAUCGGUUCCAAGAGUUCACAUCGACGAACCGGUUUGGCACCUCGAUGUCGGCUCAUCGCAUCCUGGGGCUGGAGAAGGUCCCAAGGGUCCGGCUGUUCGCCGGUUAAAGCGGUACGCGAGCUGGGUUCAGAACGUCGUGAGACAGUUCGGUCCUUAUCCACUGUGGGCGCAGGAAUCUUGAGGGGUUCAUUCUCUAGUUCGAGAGGACCGAGAAUGACGCACUUCUGGUGUGGCAGUUGUUCCAUCAGGGGCAUCGCUGCGUAGCCAUGUGCGGAAGAGAUAAGCGCUGAAAGCAUCUAAGUGCCAAGCUCAUCCCAAGAUAUGGAUUCCCGGACGCAAGUCCCUAAAGACCCCCGGCAGACUACCGGGUUGAUAGGUCAGGCAUGUAAGCGUCGCGAGAUGUUUAGUGGACUGAUACUAAUUGGUCGUGCGGCUUGAUCGC
rnacentral:rRNA from 1 species